ACCGAGAUCAUUCAUCAUGUUCAGAUCGUGCACCUUACUUCAACUAACCUUGUCGGAACACAGCACCUCCUCUGCGCCAGAAGUCGCCACCGGCGGCGACGGGGUCCUAAAUCACAAAAACCUACCCCAUUUUAUUCGUCUCACCCUCCUCUUUCCAUAUUCAUCAACAAUCUGCCUUAAUUUCAACCUUAAAUCUAAACCGAAUCAAAAUGUAUGAACCCUAAAAAUACCAAAUCCAGAAAUUAAGAGAAAAUCAAAAAGCAAAGCCUCUUUUGAGAGUGCUUUGAUCCUUGGAGCUCUACAUUACAUUCUGAUGACGAAGGAUUGAAGAAAAUGCGCAGAAAUGUUUACCUACCGGAGCAACUCCGGUGGUUCUUUGUCUGGUGGAAAAGAAUCCAGGGCAAUUUGGAAAUGCUUAUGUUAACUUAUUCAACUGGUACGAAGUGGAUGGUUAGAGCCAGCAAUGUCAGCUCUGUUACCAUUAUUGUAUAGAUUAAUAAACAAUUUGAAUUGUUAGAUGAUGAUUGAUUCUGAUGAAGCUAAGUUGGACAUGAGUUAUUAAUUGGAAAUUAAGAACUAUUAGAUGUUA